rnacentral:rRNA from 1 species
UACGUAGGGUGCAAGCGUUGUCCGGAAUUAUUGGGCGUAAAGAGCUCGUAGGCGGUUUGUUGCGUCGGCUGUGAAAUCCCGAGGCUCAACCUCGGGUCUGCAGUCGAUACGAGCAAACUAGAGUGUUGCAGGGGAGACUGGAAUUCCUGGUGUAGCGGUGAAAUGCGCAGAUAUCGGAAGGAACAUCAGUGGCGAAAGCGACUUCCUGGACCAAUACUGACGCUCAUGUGCGAAAGCGUGGGGAGCAAACAGG